GACGAACGCUGGCGGCGUGCUUAACACAUGCAAGUCGAACGGAAAGGCCCUGCUUUUGUGGGGUGCUCGAGUGGCGAACGGGUGAGUAACACGUGAGUAACCUGCCCUUGACUUUGGGAUAACUUCAGGAAACUGGGGCUAAUACCGGAUAGGAGCUCCUGCUGCAUGGUGGGGGUUGGAAAGUUUCGGCGGUUGGGGAUGGGCUCGCGGCUUAUCAGCUUGUUGGUGGGGUAGUGGCUUACCAAGGCUUUGACGGGUAGCCGGCCUGAGAGGGUGACCGGCCACAUUGGGACUGAGAUACGGCCCAGACUCCUACGGGAGGCAGCAGUGGGGAAUAUUGCACAAUGGGCGGAAGCCUGAUGCAGCAACGCCGCGUGCGGGAUGACGGCCUUCGGGUUGCAAACCGCUUUCGCCUGUGACGAAGCGUGAGUGACGGUAAUGGGUAAAGAAGCACCGGCUAACUACGUG
rnacentral:rRNA from 1 species